UACGUAGGGUGCGAGCAUUAAUCGGAAUUACUGGGCGUAAAGCGUGCGCAGGCGGUUCGUUAAGUUCGAUGUGAAAGCCCCGGGCUCAACCUGGGAACUGCAUUGGAAACUGGCGAGCUUGAAUGCGGCAGAGGGGGGUGGAAUUCCGCGUGUAGCAGUGAAAUGCGUAGAGAUGCGGAGGAACACCGAUGGCGAAGGCAGCCCCCUGGGCCGACAUUGACGCUCAGGCACGAAAGCGUGGGGAGCAAACAGG
rnacentral:rRNA from 1 species